rfam:Ictidomys tridecemlineatus contig024354, whole genome shotgun sequence.
CCAAAGGUUUUUUUUAAAACCUUCAAACAUUGCAUUUUAGACUAUUU